GAUAAACGCUGGCGGCGUGCCUAACACAUGCAAGUCGAACGCUCUCGGGCAACCGAGGGAGUGGCGGACGGGUGAGGAACAUGUGGGUACCUGCCCUGGGGUGAGGAAUACCGGCGAGAAAUCGCCGACAAUACCGCAUAGGCUCAGGAGACUGAGCAAAGCCGUAAGGCGCCCUGGGAUGGGCCUGCAUCCGAUUAGCUGGCUGGUGGGGUAAGAGCCUACCAGGGCGACGAUCGGUAGCUGGUCUGAGAGGACGAUCAGCCACACUGGGAUUGAG
rnacentral:rRNA from 1 species